GCUCAGAUUGAACGCUGGCGGCAUGCCUUACACAUGCAAGUCGAACGGUAACAGGUCUUCGGACGCUGACGAGUGGCGAACGGGUGAGUAAUACAUCGGAACGUGCCCAGUCGUGGGGGAUAACUACUCGAAAGAGUAGCUAAUACCGCAUACGAUCUGAGGAUGAAAGCGGGGGACCUUCGGGCCUCGCGCGAUUGGAGCGGCCGAUGGCAGAUUAGGUAGUUGGUGGGAUAAAAGCUUACCAAGCCGACGAUCUGUAGCUGGUCUGAGAGGACGACCAGCCACACUGGGACUGAGACACGGCCCAGACUCCUACGGGAGGCAGCAGUGGGGAAUUUUGGACAAUGGGCGAAAGCCUGAUCCAGCAAUGCCGCGUGCAGGAUGAAGGCCUUCGGGUUGUAAACUGCUUUUGUACGGAACGAAAAAGCUCCUUCUAAUACAGGGGGCCCAUGACGGUACCGUAAGAAUAAGCACCGGCUAACUACGUGCCAGCAGCCGCGGUAAUACGUAGGGUGCGAGCGUUAAUCGGAAUUACUGGGCGUAAAGCGUGCGCAGGCGGUUAUGUAAGACAGAUGUGAAAUCCCCGGGCUCAACCUGGGAACUGCAUUUGUGACUGCAUGGCUAGAGUACGGUAGAGGGGGAUGGAAUUCCGCGUGUAGCAGUGAAAUGCGUAGAUAUGCGGAGGAACACCGAUGGCGAAGGCAAUCCCCUGGACCUGUACU
rnacentral:rRNA from 1 species